GGUUAAGCGACUAAGCGUACACGGUGGAUGCCCUGGCAGUCAGAGGCGAUGAAGGACGUGCUAAUCUGCGAUAAGCGUCGGUAAGGUGAUAUGAACCGUUAUAACCGGCGAUUUCCGAAUGGGGAAACCCAGUGUGAUUCGUCACACUAUCAUUAACUGAAUCCAUAGGUUAAUGAGGCGAACCGGGGGAACUGAAACAUCUAAGUACCCCGAGGAAAAGAAAUCAACCGAGAUUCCCCCAGUAGCGGCGAGCGAACGGGGAGCAGCCCAGAGCCUGAAUCAGUGUGUGUGUUAGUGGAAGCGUCUGGAAAGGCGUGCGAUACAGGGUGACAGCCCCGUACACAAAAAUGCACAUGCUGUGAGCUCGAUGAGUAGGGCGGGACACGUGGUAUCCUGUCUGAAUAUGGGGGGACCAUCCUCCAAGGCUAAAUACUCCUGACUGACCGAUAGUGAACCAGUACCGUGAGGGAAAGGCGAAAAGAACCCCGGCGAGGGGAGUGAAAAAGAACCUGAAACCGUGUACGUACAAGCAGUGGGAGCACAGAGCAAUCUGUGUGACUGCGUACCUUUUGUAUAAUGGGUCAGCGACUUAUAUUCUGUAGCAAGGUUAACCGAAUAGGGGAGCCGAAGGGAAACCGAGUCUUAACUGGGCGUUAAGUUGCAGGGUAUAGACCCGAAACCCGGUGAUCUAGCCAUGGGCAGGUUGAAGGUUGGGUAACACUAACUGGAGGACCGAACCGACUAAUGUUGAAAAAUUAGCGGAUGACUUGUGGCUGGGGGUGAAAGGCCAAUCAAACCGGGAGAUAGCUGGUUCUCCCCGAAAGCUAUUUAGGUAGCGCCUCGUGAAUUCAUCUCCGGGGGUAGAGCACUGUUUCGGCAAGGGGGUCAUCCCGACUUACCAACCCGAUGCAAACUGCGAAUACCGGAGAAUGUUAUCACGGGAGACACACGGCGGGUGCUAACGUCCGUCGUGAAGAGGGAAACAACCCAGACCGCCAGCUAAGGUCCCAAAGUCAUGGUUAAGUGGGAAACGAUGUGGGAAGGCCCAGACAGCCAGGAUGUUGGCUUAGAAGCAGCCAUCAUUUAAAGAAAGCGUAAUAGCUCACUGGUCGAGUCGGCCUGCGCGGAAGAUGUAACGGGGCUAAACCAUGCACCGAAGCUGCGGCAGCGACGCUUAUGCGUUGUUGGGUAGGGGAGCGUUCUGUAAGCCUGCGAAGGUGUGCUGUGAGGCAUGCUGGAGGUAUCAGAAGUGCGAAUGCUGACAUAAGUAACGAUAAAGCGGGUGAAAAGCCCGCUCGCCGGAAGACCAAGGGUUCCUGUCCAACGUUAAUCGGGGCAGGGUGAGUCGACCCCUAAGGCGAGGCCGAAAGGCGUAGUCGAUGGGAAACAGGUUAAUAUUCCUGUACUUGGUGUUACUGCGAAGGGGGGACGGAGAAGGCUAUGUUGGCCGGGCGACGGUUGUCCCGGUUUAAGCGUGUAGGCUGGUUUUCCAGGCAAAUCCGGAAAAUCAAGGCUGAGGCGUGAUGACGAGGCACUACGGUGCUGAAGCAACAAAUGCCCUGCUUCCAGGAAAAGCCUCUAAGCAUCAGGUAACAUCAAAUCGUACCCCAAACCGACACAGGUGGUCAGGUAGAGAAUACCAAGGCGCUUGAGAGAACUCGGGUGAAGGAACUAGGCAAAAUGGUGCCGUAACUUCGGGAGAAGGCACGCUGAUAUGUAGGUGAAGCGACUUGCUCGUGGAGCUGAAAUCAGUCGAAGAUACCAGCUGGCUGCAACUGUUUAUUAAAAACACAGCACUGUGCAAACACGAAAGUGGACGUAUACGGUGUGACGCCUGCCCGGUGCCGGAAGGUUAAUUGAUGGGGUCAGCGCAAGCGAAGCUCUUGAUCGAAGCCCCGGUAAACGGCGGCCGUAACUAUAACGGUCCUAAGGUAGCGAAAUUCCUUGUCGGGUAAGUUCCGACCUGCACGAAUGGCGUAAUGAUGGCCAGGCUGUCUCCACCCGAGACUCAGUGAAAUUGAACUCGCUGUGAAGAUGCAGUGUACCCGCGGCAAGACGGAAAGACCCCGUGAACCUUUACUAUAGCUUGACACUGAACAUUGAGCCUUGAUGUGUAGGAUAGGUGGGAGGCUUUGAAGUGUGGACGCCAGUCUGCAUGGAGCCGACCUUGAAAUACCACCCUUUAAUGUUUGAUGUUCUAACGUUGACCCGUAAUCCGGGUUGCGGACAGUGUCUGGUGGGUAGUUUGACUGGGGCGGUCUCCUCCUAAAGAGUAACGGAGGAGCACGAAGGUUGGCUAAUCCUGGUCGGACAUCAGGAGGUUAGUGCAAUGGCAUAAGCCAGCUUGACUGCGAGCGUGACGGCGCGAGCAGGUGCGAAAGCAGGUCAUAGUGAUCCGGUGGUUCUGAAUGGAAGGGCCAUCGCUCAACGGAUAAAAGGUACUCCGGGGAUAACAGGCUGAUACCGCCCAAGAGUUCAUAUCGACGGCGGUGUUUGGCACCUCGAUGUCGGCUCAUCACAUCCUGGGGCUGAAGUAGGUCCCAAGGGUAUGGCUGUUCGCCAUUUAAAGUGGUACGCGAGCUGGGUUUAGAACGUCGUGAGACAGUUCGGUCCCUAUCUGCCGUGGGCGCUGGAGAACUGAGGGGGGCUGCUCCUAGUACGAGAGGACCGGAGUGGACGCAUCACUGGUGUUCGGGUUGUCAUGCCAAUGGCACUGCCCGGUAGCUAAAUGCGGAAGAGAUAAGUGCUGAAAGCAUCUAAGCACGAAACUUGCCCCGAGAUGAGUUCUCCCUGACUCCUUGAGAGUCCUGAAGGAACGUUGAAGACGACGACGUUGAUAGGCCGGGUGUGUAAGCGCAGCGAUGCGUUGAGCUAACCGGUACUAAUGAACCGUGAGGCUUAACCUU
rnacentral:rRNA from 1 species